GACGAACGCUGGCGGCGUGCUUAACACAUGCGAGUCGAACGGAAAGGCCCUGCUUUUGUGGGGUGCUCGAGUGGCGAACGGGUGAGUAACACGUGAGUAACCUGCCCUUGACUUUGGGAUAACUUCAGGAAACUGGGGCUAAUACCGGAUAGGAGCUCCUGCUGCAUGGUGGGGGUUGGAAAGUUUCGGCGGUUGGGGAUGGACUCGCGGCUUAUCAGCUUGUUGGUGGGGUAGUGGCUUACCAGGGCUUUGACGGGUAGCCGGCCUGAGAGGGUGACCGGCCACAUUGGGACUGAGAUACGGCCCAGACUCCUACGGGAGGCAGCAGUGGGGAAUAUUGCACAAUGGGCGGAAGCCUGAUGCAGCAACGCCGCGUGCGGGAUGACGGUCUUCGGGUUGUAAACCGCUUUCGCCUGUGACGAAGCGUGAGUGACGGUAAUGGGUAAAGAAGCACCGGCUAACUACGUG
rnacentral:rRNA from 1 species